rnacentral:rRNA from 1 species
AGGACGAACGCUGGCGGCGUGCUUAACACAUGCAAGUCGAGCGGAAAGGCCCUUUCGGGGGUACUCGAGCGGCGAACGGGUGAGUAACACGUGAGUAACCUGCCCUUCACUUUGGGAUAACCCUCGGAAACGGGGGCUAAUACCGGAUAUGACACACAGUCGCAUGGUUUGUGUGUGGAAAGAUUUUUUGGUGGGGGAUGGGCUCGCGGCCUAUCAGCUUGUUGGUGGGGUGAUGGCCUACCAAGGCGACGACGGGUAGCCGGCCUGAGAGGGCGACCGGCCACACUGGGACUGAGACACGGCCCAGACUCCUACGGGAGGCAGCAGUGGGGAAUAUUGCACAAUGGGCGGAAGCCUGAUGCAGCGACGCCGCGUGAGGGAUGACGGCCUUCGGGUUGUAACCUCUUUCAGCAGGGACGAGCGAGAGUGACGGUACCUGCAGAAGAAGCGCCGGCCAACGUCGUGCCAGCAGCCGC